rnacentral:lncRNA from 13 species
AUGUCACCAUGCCCUGCUAAUAUAUAUUUUUAUUUUCUUAGAGACAGUCUCACUACGUUGUCCAGGCUGGUCUUGAACUCCUGGCUUCAAGUGAUCCUCUCACCUCAGCCUCCCAAAAUGCUGGGAUUACAGGCAGGUCUACUGGCAACAAAUUCCCUCAAUUUUUGUUUGCUGAGAAAGUCCUAAUUUCCACUUCACUUUUGGAGGAUAAUUUCAUGGAGUACAGCAUUCUAGGUUAGUCACAUUUUUUUCUCUCAACAUUUAAAUAUUUCAUUCCACUCUUUCCUGAUUUGCACAGUUUCUAAAGAAACAUCACUUUUUGUUCAUUUGUUUCUUGGUUUUGAAGGAUUUUCUGCAUCUAUCCUGUGUGUCCUUUGAGCUUCCUGGAUCUGUGGUUUCAUGUUCCAUAUUGAUUUGGGAGAAUUAUCAAUCAUUAUUGCUUCAAAUAUUUCUUCUGUUCCUUUCUCUGUCUUCUAGUAUUCCCAUGAGGCAUAGUAAUACCUUUUCUUCAUCAUCUCAGUUUUUGGAUAUUCUGUUUGUCUUUCAGUUUUAGAGGUUUCUAUUGAGACAUCCUCAAGCUCAGUGAUUCUUUUCUAAGAUGUGUCUAGUCUACUAUUUAGCUUCUCAGAGGUACUCUUUGUCUUUUAUUUAUUUAUUUAUUUAUUUAUGAGAUGUAGUCUUGCUCUGUAGCCCAGACUGAAGUGCAGUGGUGCAAUCUCGGCUCACUGCAACCUCCACCUCCUGGCUUCAAGCCACCUGAGUAGCUGGAAUUACAGGGGCCCGCCACCCUGCCUGGCUAAUUUUUGCAUUUUUAAUAGAGGUGGGUUUCACCAUGUUGGUCAGGCUGGUCUUGAACUCCUGACCUCAAAUUAUCCACCCACCUCGGCCUCUCAAAGUGCUGGGAUUAUAGGUGUGAGCAGCCGUGCCCAGCCUACUCUUCAUUUUUGAUCUCUAGCAUUUUAGUGCAUUCUUAGGGUUUCCACCUCUCUCCUUACAUUGUUUGUUAUUGCUUGUUAGCUACUUUCUCUAGUAGAGCCCUUUUCAUAUUGAUCACAGUUGUUUUAAAUUCCCAGUCUGCAAAUUCCAACAUCUCAGCCAUAUCUAAAUCUGGGUCUGUUUGCUCUCAUUCUUCAAAUCUGUGUCUUUUGCCUCUUAGUAUGCCUUGUAGUGUUUUUCUUGGUAGCUG